GUGUCAGCAGCCGCGGUAAGACGAACCGUGCGAACGUUAUUCGGAAUCAUUGGGCUUAAAGCGCGUGUAGGCGGAUUCGUGCGUCUGUCGCUGAAAUCCCCCGGCUCAACCGGGGAACGGGCGCGGAUACGACGAGUCUGGAGGGGCAUAGGGGGACCUGGAACUUCCGGUGGAGCGGUGAAAUGCGUUGAGAUCGGAAGGAACGCCCGUGGCGAAAGCGAGGUCCUGGAUGCCUACUGACGCUGAGACGCGAAAGCCAGGGGAGCGAACGGGAUUAGAAACCCUCGUAGUCC
rnacentral:rRNA from 1 species